rnacentral:rRNA from 1 species
AUCAUCGAAGAACUCCUUGACGAGCUCCAUGGUGCAGCAUGGUUCUCGAAGCUCGAUCUUCGUGCCAGAUAUCAUAAGAUCCGGUUGGCUCCAGGAGAGGAAUACAAGACCGCGUUCCAAACUCAUCAGGGCCACUUAGAAUUUAAAGUAGUUUCCUUUGGACUCGCGGGUGGACCCGCUACAUUCAUUGGAGCCAUCACAACGACCCUCAAGCCGCUCAACCGUGUCUGUGUGCUGUCCUUUUUCGACGACAUCCUUGUAUUCAGCAAAAGGUUGCAAGAACACAUCAAUCACUUGCGACAGGUGCUCACGCUGCUUCGCUGGGAUAGUUGGAAGGUUAAAUGCAGCAAGUGCGCCUUUGGGCAG